UACGGAGGGGGGCUAGCGUUGUUCGGAAUUACUGGGCGUAAAGCGCGCGUAGGCGGCUUUGUAAGUCAGAGGUGAAAGCCUGGAGCUCAACUCCAGAACUGCCUUUGAAACUACAUCGCUAGAAUCAUGGAGAGGUUAGUGGAAUUCCGAGUGUAGAGGUGAAAUUCGUAGAUAUUCGGAAGAACACCAGUGGCGAAGGCGACUAACUGGACAUGUAUUGACGCUGAGGUGCGAAAGCGUGGGGGAGCAAACAGG
rnacentral:rRNA from 1 species